AACGCUGGCGGCGUGCCUAAUACAUGCAAGUCGAACGCUUCUUUCCUCCCGAGUGCUUGCACUCAAUUGGAAAGAGGAGUGGCGGACGGGUGAGUAACACGUGGGUAACCUACCCAUCAGAGGGGGAUAACACUUGGAAACAGGUGCUAAUACCGCAUAACAGUUUAUGCCGCAUGGCAUAAGAGUGAAAGGCGCUUUCGGGUGUCGCUGAUGGAUGGACCCGCGGUGCAUUAGCUAGUUGGUGAGGUAACGGCUCACCAAGGCCACGAUGCAUAGCCGACCUGAGAGGGUGAUCGGCCA
rnacentral:rRNA from 1 species